UGGGAGAAUUAGAAGUAGCCUCGUCCACUU
rnacentral:piRNA from 2 species